UAAACGCUGGCGGCGUGCCUUAUGCAUGCAAGUCGAACGCACCGCAAGGUGAGUGGCGAACGGGUGAGUAACACGUAGGAACCUGCCUGGAAGUGGGGGAUAACUCCUCGAAAGAGGGGCUAAUACCGCAUACGGUCUUCGGACCAAAGCUUCGGCGCUUUCAGAGGGGCCUGCGGCGGAUUAGCUUGUUGGUGGGGUAACGGCCUACCAAGGCGACGAUCCGUAGCUGGUCUGAGAGGAUGGUCAGCCACACUGGGACUGAGAUACGGCCCAGACUCCUACGGGAGGCAGCAGCAAGGAAUUUUGCGCAAUGGGCGAAAGCCUGACGCAGCAACGCCGCGUGGGGGAUGAAGGCCUUCGGGUUGUAAACCCCUUUUGUCGAGGGAAGAAGAUCUGACGGUACCUCGCGAAUAAGCCACGGCUAACUACGUGCCAGCAGCCGCGGUAAUCU
rnacentral:rRNA from 1 species